UACAGAGGGUGCGAGCGUUAAUCGGAAUUACUGGGCGUAAAGCGUGCGUAGACGGCUAUCUAAGUCGGGUGUGAAAGCCCCGGGCUCAACCUGGGAACUGCAUUUGUGACUGCACGGCUGGAGUGCGGCAGAGGGGGAUGGAAUUCCGCGUGUAGCAGUGAAAUGCGUAGAUAUGCGGAGGAACACCGAUGGCGAAGGCAAUCCCCUGGGCCUGCACUGACGCUCAUGCACGAAAGCGUGGGGAGCAAACAGG
rnacentral:rRNA from 1 species